CCUACGGGUGACAGCAGUGAGGAAUAUUGGUCAAUGGCUGGAAGGCUGAACCAGCCAUGCCGCGUGAAGGUCAGUGCCCUAUGGGCGUUAAACUUCUUUUGUGCGGGAGCAAUAAUGGUCACGUGUGGCCAGACGAGAGUACCGUACGAAUAAGCAUCGGCUAACUCCGUGCCAGCAGCCGCGGUAAUACGGGGGAUGCAAGCGUUAUCCGGAUUUAUUGGGUUUAAAGGGUACGUAGGCUGGGAGGUAAGUCAGCGGUGAAAUGCCCCCGCUCAACGGGGUGAAGUGCCAUUGAUACUGCCUGGCUGGAAUGCGGAUGCCGUGGGAGGAAUGUGUGGUGUAGCGGUGAAAUGCAUAGAUAUCACACAGAACACCGAUUGCGAAGGCAUCUCACGAAUCCGCGAUUGACGCUGAUGCACGAAAGCGUGGGUAUCAAACAGGAUUAGAUACCCCGGUAGUC
rnacentral:rRNA from 1 species